rnacentral:rRNA from 1 species
GAUGAACGCUAGCGGCAGGCUUAACACAUGCAAGUCGAGGGGUAGAGGAAGCUUGCUUCCUUGAGACCGGCGCACGGGUGCGUAACGCGUAUGCAACCUACCUUUUACAGAGGGAUAGCCCAGAGAAAUUUGGAUUAAUACCUCAUAGUAUAUGUUUUUCGCAUGUUAGACAUAUUAAAGUUCCAACGGUAAAAGAUGGGCAUGCGUCCUAUUAGCUAGAUGGUAAGGUAACGGCUUACCAUGGCAACGAUAGGUAGGGGUCCUGAGAGGGAGAUCCCCCACACUGGUACGGAGACACGGACCAGAGUCCUACGGGAGGCAGCAGUGAUGAAUAUUGGACAAUGGGCGCAAGCCUGAUCCAGCCAUGCCGCGUGCAGGAAGAAGCAUCUAUGGCGUGUAAACUGCUUUUGUACGGGAAGAAACACUCCCUCGUGAGGGAGCUUGACGGUACCGUAAGAAUAAGGAUCGGCUAACUCCGUGCCAGCCGCCGCCGUAAUAC